UGAACGCUGGCGGCAGGCCUAACACAUGCAAGUCGAGCGGUAACAGAGAGGNGCUUGCNCCUUUGCUGACGAGCGGCGGACGGGUGAGUAAUGCUUGGGAACAUGCCUUGAGGUGGGGGACAACAGUUGGAAACGACUGCUAAUACCGCAUAAUGUCUACGGACCAAAGGGGGCUUCGGCUCUCGCCUUUAGAUUGGCCCAAGUGGGAUUAGCUAGUUGGUGAGGUAAUGGCUCACCAAGGCAACGAUCCCUAGCUGGUUUGAGAGGAUGAUCAGCCACACUGGAACUGAGACACGGUCCAGACUCCUACGGGAGGCAGCAGUGGGGAAUAUUGCACAAUGGGCGAAAGCCUGAUGCAGCCAUGCCGCGUGUGUGAAGAAGGCCUUCGGGUUGUAAAGCACUUUCAGUCAGGAGGAAAGGGUGUGAGUUAAUACCUCACAUCUGUGACGUUACUGACAGAAGAAGCACCGGCUAACUCCGUGCCAGCAGCCGCGGUAAUACGGAGGGUGCGAGCGUUAAUCGGAAUUACUGGGCGUAAAGCGUACGCAGGCGGUUUGUUAAGCGAGAUGUGAAAGCCCCGGGCUCAACCUGGGAACUGCAUUUCGAACUGGCAAACUAGAGUGUGAUAGAGGGUGGUAGAAUUUCAGGUGUAGCGGUGAAAUGCGUAGAGAUCUGAAGGAAUACCGAUGGCGAAGGCAGCCACCUGGGUCAACACUGACGCUCAUGUACGAAAGCGUGGGGAGCAAACGGGAUUAGAUACCCCGGUAGUCCACGCCGUAAA
rnacentral:rRNA from 1 species